AUACGUAGGGAGCGAGCGUUGUCCGGAAUUACUGGGUGUAAAGGGUGCGUAGGCGGGGAUGCAAGUCAGAUGUGAAAUGUCUGGGCUCAACCCAUGAACUGCAUUUGAAACUGCAACUCUUGAGUAAGGUAGAGGAAAGCGGAAUUCCUAGUGUAGCGGUGAAAUGCGUAGAUAUUAGGAGGAACAUCGGUGGCGAAGGCGGCUUACUGGGCCUUUACUGACGCUGAGGCACGAAAGCGUGGGGAGCAAACAGGAUUAGAUACCCUGGUAGUCCACGCUGUAAACGAUGAUGACUAGGUGUGGGGGGACUGAACCCUUCCGUGCCGCAGUUAACACAAUAAGUCAUCCACCUGGGGAGUACGGCCGCAAGGUUGAAACUUAAAGGAAUUGACGGGG
rnacentral:rRNA from 1 species